rnacentral:rRNA from 1 species
GGUAGUGGGGGACAACGUUUCGAAAGGAACGCUAAUACCGCAUACGUCCUACGGGAGAAAGCAGGGGACCUUCGGGCCUUGCGCUAUCAGAUGAGCCUAGGUCGGAUUAGCUAGUUGGUGGGGUAAUGGCUCACCAAGGCGACGAUCCGUAACUGGUCUGAGAGGAUGAUCAGUCACACUGGAACUGAGACACGGUCCAGACUCCUACGGGAGGCAGCAGUGGGGAAUAUUGGACAAUGGGCGAAAGCCUGAUCCAGCCAUGCCGCGUGUGUGAAGAAGGUCUUCGGAUUGUAAAGCACUUUAAGUUGGGAGGAAGGGCAGUAAGUUAAUACCUUGCUGUUUUGACGUUACCGACAGAAUAAGCACCGGCUAACUCUGUGCCAGCAGCCGCGGUAAUACAGAGGGUGCAAGCGUUAAUCGGAAUUACUGGGCGUAAAGCGCGCGUAGGUGGUUUGUUAAGUUGGAUGUGAAAGCCCCGGGCUCAACCUGGGAACUGCAUCCAAAACUGGCAAGCUAGAGUACGGUAGAGGGUGGUGGAAUUUCCUGUGUAGCGGUGAAAUGCGUAGAUAUAGGAAGGAACACCAGUGGCGAAGGCGACCACCUGGACUGAUACUGAC